UUUUUCUAAAAUCUUAAUCUAACUUAAAAAGAUUAUAAUGCUUCUAAUUAAAACUAAUUAACUCAAUGAAACUGGACAUUAUAUGGACUGGGGGGUGGUAUCGGUACUGAGGGAGGUGUAAGGUAAAACAGAGAUUGCCUUGGGAUUUAGAUCCAAGAAUGAGCCCACUAACAUCACAACAUGAAACUGGCUUGCUGAAACAGAGUCCAAAACAAUUCAGUAGCAACGAAGGUCCAGAAAGAUACCUCUAAUGACACGCUCGGAAGAGUUCUCAACGAAUCGGCGCGACUCCUCCGUUGUCUUCUUCGCGUUCUUCACGGUUCUCUCAUCCUCUUGUGCUAUGCUUAUAUGAUCUGCUUCCUCUACGCGAUUGUUGGAUUUAGACCACUGCGAAACGGCGUGAGCGAUGCAAGAUCACGCGAGCUUCCGUCACCGGCGGCAGCGAUCCAUUCCAACAACCAAUCUGCGCUCCUCAACCAACCUGAAACAAAGAUAAUCGGCCAAAUCGGAGCAACCGCGAGCGGUAAAAGCAAGAUCGGAGGUUUCGUCGGCGGCUUCACUUUGAAAUUCCGGUAACCUCCUCGAAUUGGAACUGCAAGAUCCGACACGGUGGCUUUCCGACGAUAACCGGUGGCGUUUGUUGUGAAUUGGAAAUGGAGGUUUGAUGAAGGUGAUUGUGAAUUGAAAAAACGGUUACGGUUACGGUGGUUGAAGGUUUGGCUAUGGAGUUUGGUGAAGGUGAUUGUGAAUUGAAAAAACGGUUACGGUUACGGUGGUUGAAGGUUUGGCUAUGGAGUUUGGUGAAGGAAUUGAAGAGAGGAAGAAGAAGAAGAAGAAUUUGAGAGAGGGAAGGAGAAUUUAUAGAGUUGUGAGAGGGAUUAGAAGUUUGUUAGGAAGUUAGUUUUUCUGUUAUGGAGAGCCUCCAAGAUUCUGCAGUGAGUUUUCCUUUUAUACACGUUCGACCUGUUAUAUCCCGUUCCCAUUUUUUGAAGUUGGUUAACCGUUAGCAUUGUUAGCGGGGAAUUGAUAUUUUUUAUGCAGAGUUUUGAUUAUUAGUUAUGCAGAAUUUUGUUUAAUGCAGAAUUUUGAUUUAAUGCAGAAUUUUAAUUGUAUUUGAUGCAGAAUUUUUGUUAAUGCAGAAUUUUGAUUUAAUGCAGAAUGGUUUU